AAAAGCAAAGUCUUAAAGAAUAAGCAAGACGUUCUGAAGCAGUGAAGAGAGUAAAAGGUGUUCAAGCAAAAAGGAAGUACAUAUCCAGAAAGGUGUGGAAGUCUGAAAGAGCAUGGUGUGUUUGGGAAACAGCAAGACUUUAGAUGAAGCAGCACCCCCAGCAUGGCAAAGCAGGAGAAAAAGACAGAAAGGUGGCUGUCUUGGAGAGAAGCAAUCAGAAAUAACAAACCAUGAUAAAGAAAGGAAAGACUGAUGGGCUUGUGAUCAGUGAAGGAAGGCAGUAACUAUGGAAAACAACAUGUCUUCACUAGGAAUACUUCCACUAGGUGGUGGCGGGCACCUGUAGUCCCUGGAGGCUGAGGCAGGAGAAUGGCGUGAACCCGGGAGGCGGAGCUUGCAGUAAG
rnacentral:lncRNA from 10 species